CGCGUAGGCGGGUCGUUAAGUUAGAGGUGAAAGCCCAGGGCUCAACCCUGGAAUUGCCUUUAAUACUGGCGGCCUUGAGUAUGGCAGAGGUGUGUGGAACUCCGAGUGUAGAGGUGAAAUUCGUAGAUAUUCGGAAGAACACCAGUGGCGAAGGCGACACACUGGGCCAUUACUGACGCUGAGGCGCGAAAGCGUGGGGAGCAAACAGGAUUAGAUACCCUGGUAGUCCACGCUGUAAACGAUGAGUGCUAGUUGUCGGCAUGCAUGCAUGUCGGUGACGCAGCUAACGCAUUAAGCACUCCGCCUGGGGAGUACGGUCGCAAGAUUAAA
rnacentral:rRNA from 1 species